rnacentral:lncRNA from 1 species
UAGUUCAUCAUAAGAAUAUUCUUCAUGAAAUUCAUUAGAUUCAGAUUCUACUUUAUCUUCUAGUGCCAUAAAACAUAAGUUAGUUACCUUUUGUAGUUCAUUGGAGCUAAUAUCAUCAUUAUUGCUCCUAGCUUUCAUUUUCUUGCUUGACUCUUCCUUGGUCAAGGCGUUCUUCCUUUUUAUCUCUUUCUUUCUUUCUUCUUGCUUCCUCUUCUUCUUUGUCUUUAGGAAGCUUUUAAAUUUUCUUGCUGUUCUUUCUUCCUCGAGUCGACUCGAGUUUACUUGGAGUCGACUCGACUGACUUGAGAGUCGACUCGAGAUCUUCGGGAGACGUCUCGUUCUCAGAGGCCUAAAAGAUGGUUCUCUGUCUUUUGAAUUGUUCUGCCUCGGAGUCGACUCGGGCCUUGUCGGAGUCGACUCGGCUAACUUGGGAGUCGACUCGGAACUACUUGGAGUCGACUCGUUCACAGGGUCUUCAAGACUGUGUCUCUGCCUUU